rnacentral:rRNA from 1 species
UGGGGAAUAUUGGACAAUGGGGGCAACCCUGAUCCAGCAAUGCCGCGUGUGUGAAGAAGGCCUGCGGGUUGUAAAUCACUUUUGGCAGGGAUGAAAAGCACUGGAUUAAUAACCCAGUGUGUUGACCUAACCUGCAGAAGAAGCACCGGCUAACUCUGUGCCAGCAGCCGCGGUAAUACAGGGGGUGCGAGCGUUAAUCGGAAUUACUGGGCGUAAAGGGCGCGUAGGCGGUCGAGUAAGUCGGAUGUGAAAUCCCCGGGCUUAACCUGGGAAUUGCAUUCGAUACUGCUUGGCUAGAGUGUGGAAGAGGGAAGCGGAAUUUCCGGUGUAGCGGUGAAAUGCGUAGAUAUCGGAAGGAACACCAGUGGCGAAGGCGGCUUCCUGGUCCAACACUGACGCUGAGGCGCGAAAGCCAGGGGAGCAAA